rnacentral:rRNA from 1 species
UCUUAUAUUUAUCUAAAGUAGUAAAUAUUAAACUUAAAAUUUUGACGGUAUUUAAUUUUUUAGAGGAAUAUGUAAUUUAAUUGUCAUUACACGUUAAUUUUACUUAUUUUAUUUUUGUAUACCACCGUUAAUAGAUUUUAUUAUAUAUUUUAAUAAAUUUCUAAAUAAACUAAUUUUAUUAUAUCAGGUCAAGGUGCAAAACAAAUAAGUUAUUAUGUAUUACAUUCAAAUAUAUUGUAAUGGAAAAUUAUUGAAAUUUUAUUUGAAAUUGAAUCUACAAGUAAAAUAAUAAUAAAAUAUUAUUUGAAAUAAUAUUAAAUAUGU